CUGUUUGGGAAUAUGACAACUUCUUCAUCAUUCUAAUCAAACCAGGAUAAACCGCGAUGUAAGAAGCUGUAUUUGGACACAUAAAGUAGUGGAGAAUCACUAGGAAGUUGAAUAAAUCUCAGAGGAAUUAAGAUGAAGAAGCUAUUCCACUUUCAAAUCAGGUGAUUCCAGUUUUCCUGUUUGGGAAUAUGACAACUUCUUCGUCAUUGUAAUCAAACCAGGAUGAACCGCGAUGUAAGAAGUUGUAUUUGGACACAUAAAGUAGUGGAGAAUCACUGGAAAGUUGAAUAAAUCUCAUAAAAGUUAGGAUGAAUAGGCUAUCCGACUUUCAAAUCAGGUGAUACCAGUUUUCCUGUUUAGGAAUGUGACAACUUCUUCGUCAUUCUAAUCAAAGUAGGAUGAACCGCGAUGUAAGAAACUGUAUUUUGAC
rnacentral:lncRNA from 1 species